GUUGAACGCUGGCGGCGUGCCUAAUACAUGCAAGUCGAGCGAACAGACGAGGAGCUUGCCCCUCUGACGUUAGCGGCGGACGGGUGAGUAACACGUGGAGAAACUACCUAUAAGACUGGGAUAACUUCGGGAAACCGGUGCUAAUACCGGAUAAUAUAUUGAACCGCAUGGUUCAAUAGUGUAAGACGGCUUUGCUGUCACUUAUAGAUGGAUCCGGGCCGGAUUAGCUAGUUGGUAAGGUAACGGCUUACCAAGGCAACGAUUCGUAGCCGACCUGAGAGGGUGAUCAGCCACACUGGAACUGAGACACGGUCCAGACUCCUACGGGAGGCAGCAGUAGGGAAUCUUCCACAAUGGGCGAAAGCCUGACGGAGCAACGCCGCGUGUGUGAUGAAGGUCUUCGGAUCGUAAAACUCUGUUAUUAGGGAAGAACAAAUGUGUAAUUAACUAUGCACGUAUUGACGGUACCUAAACAGAAAGCCACGGCUAACUACGUG
rnacentral:rRNA from 1 species